rnacentral:ncRNA from 1 species
AUGAUGGUUUGAUCGCUUUUCAUUAUAGAUCUUAUGGGACUUUUCUUCUACAACAAAAGAGGCCCAUCAUUCCUACAGUGAUUUCACCCACUACAGAAAUUAUAGAGCC